CCUGGCUCCGAUGAAGGCUAGCUACAGGCUUAACACAUGCAAGUCGAGGGGCAUCAGGAAGAAAGCUUGCUUUCUUUGCUGGCGACCGGCGCACGGGUGAGUAACACGUAUCCAACCUGCCCUUUACUCGGGGAUAGCCUUUCGAAAGAAAGAUUAAUACCCGAUAGCAUAAUGAUUCCGCAUGGUUUCAUUAUUAAAGGAUUCCGGUAAAGGAUGGGGAUGCGUUCCAUUAGGUUGUUGGUGAGGUAACGGCUCACCAAGCCUUCGAUGGAUAGGGGUUCUGAGAGGAAGGUCCCCCACAUUGGAACUGAGACACGGUCCAAACUCCUACGGGAGGCAGCAGUGAGGAAUAUUGGUCAAUGGGCGCGAGCCUGAACCAGCCAAGUAGCGUGAAGGAUGACUGCCCUAUGGGUUGUAAACUUCUUUUAUAUUAGAAUAAAGUGCAGUAUGUAUACUGUUUUGUAUGUAUAAUAUGAAUAAGGAUCGGCUAACUCCGUGCCAGCAGCCGCGGUAAUACGGAGGAUCCGAGCGUUAUCCGGAUUUAUUGGGUUUAAAGGGAGCGUAGGUGGACUGGUAAGUCAGUUGUGAAAGUUUGCGGCUCAACCGUAAAAUUGCAGUUGAUACUGUCAGUCUUGAGUACAGUAGAGGUGGGCGGAAUUCGUGGUGUAGCGGUGAAAUGCUUAGAUAUCACGAAGAACUCCGAUUGCGAAGGCAGCUCACUGGACUGCAACUGACACUGAUGCUCGAAAGUGUGGGUAUCAAACAGGAUUAGAUACCCUGGUAGUCCACACAGUAAACGAUGAAUACUCGCUGUUUGCGAUAUACAGUAAGCGGCCAAGCGAAAGCAUUAAGUAUUCCACCUGGGGAGUACGCCGGCAACGGUGAAACUCAAAGGAAUUGACGGGGGCCCGCACAAGCGGAGGAACAUGUGGUUUAAUUCGAUGAUACGCGAGGAACCUUACCCGGGCUUAAAUUGCAGUGGAAUGAUGUGGAAACAUGUCAGUGAGCAAUCACCGCUGUGAAGGUGCUGCAUGGUUGUCGUCAGCUCGUGCCGUGAGGUGUCGGCUUAAGUGCCAUAACGAGCGCAACCCUUAUCUUUAGUUACUAACAGGUCAUGCUGAGGACUCUAGAGAGACUGCCGUCGUAAGAUGUGAGGAAGGUGGGGAUGACGUCAAAUCAGCACGGCCCUUACGUCCGGGGCUACACACGUGUUACAAUGGGGGGUACAGAAGGCAGCUACCUGGUGACAGGAUGCUAAUCCCAAAAGCCUCUCUCAGUUCGGAUCGAAGUCUGCAACCCGACUUCGUGAAGCUGGAUUCGCUAGUAAUCGCGCAUCAGCCACGGCGCGGUGAAUACGUUCCCGGGCCUUGUACACACCGCCC
rnacentral:rRNA from 1 species